rnacentral:misc_RNA from 1 species
UACAGAGGGUGCAAGCGUUAAUCGGAAUUAUUGGGCGUAAAGCGCAUGUAGGUGGAAGAAUAAGUUUGAUGUGAAAGCCCUGGGCUUAACCUGGGAAUGGCGUUGAAGACUGUUUUUCUAGAGUUUGAUAGAGGGUCGUGGAAUUUCCGGUGUAGCGGUGAAAUGCGUAGAGAUCGGAAAGAACACCAGUGGCGAAGGCGGCGACCUGGGUCUAAACUGACACUGAGGUGCGAAAGCGUGGGGAGCAAACAGG